AGACCAGGUUUCAUCCAGGACUUAUUGUAGCAGUUGUGGUAGUUGCCUUACUUGCAGCAGUGGCUGCAGCCUUCAUUAUCAAAAAGUACUGCUUCACCACAAGCAAUAUAACAUAUAGAUACUCAUACCUCAGGAAUGCAGAGGAAGAUGGACUGCCAGAUGAGCUGGACAACAGCUCCGCCAAGAGACACUAUGAGGCCGACUCUGAUGAAGAUUUGUUGGAAUGAGACCUAACCAGGUAACUCAAAGGGGGAACAUGUUGUGAGAAAUCAGCAAACUCCAUACUAGAACACUGAAUGUAUGAAACAACACCACUGUUGAAUUCAGAUAUUUUACUGCUGUUUUGGUUGCACUUUGAAGUCUGCUGUGCAGGCAUUAGAACAAUUUCUAUAGUUCAAAUGCAGAAUAUGUCAGCGCGCAUUCUAGUUCAUUCACAACAAUGUGUAGAUAAAAGCCACCAACCACUAACACUUCAGAGGAUCCUGGUUUCUUAUUCUACUUAAUAGGCACAAAAAAAUAACUGUAAGUAAAUGCCUUGAUGGGCAGUCAUAAGAUUAAAUCAAACACUAAAUCAUUAAUUUGCAAAUAAUAGCUGUACUAUUGCAGUUAUAUGUUUGAAAAUAUAAAACACAGAGAGGCAUGGCAUUAGAUAGUAAAUAAAAAGGACCUAAAGAGCAUGAGCAAAGUUUGUACAUGGUGGCAAACUUGUCAGAUAGCAAUGGAUUGGUGUUAGUAGACAUACUGGUUCUAGAGUGCACUGAAAUAAGGAAAAAUAUUGAAACAUAUUUAU